GACGAACGCUGGCGGCGUGCUUAACACAUGCAAGUCGAACGGAAAGGCCCUGCUUUUGUGGGGUGCUCGAGUGGCGAACGGGUGAGUAACACGUGAGUAACCUGCCCUUGACUUUGGGAUAACUUCAGGAAACUGGGGCUAAUACCGGAUAGGAGCUCCUGCUGCAUGGUGGGGGUUGGAAAGUUUCGGCGGUUGGGGAUGGACUCGCGGCUUAUCAGCUUUUUGGUGGGGUAGUGGCUUACCAAGGCUUUGACGGGUAGCCGGCCUGAGAGGGUGACCGGCCACAUUGGGACUGAGAUACGGCCCAGACUCCUACGGGAGGCAGCAGUGGGGAAUAUUGCACAAUGGGCGGAAGCCUGAUGCAGCAACGCCGCGUGCGGAAUGACGGCCUUCGGGUUGUAAACCGCUUUCGCCUGUGACGAAGCGUGAGUGACGGUAAUGGGUAAAGAAGCACCGGCUAACUACGUG
rnacentral:rRNA from 1 species